rnacentral:rRNA from 1 species
UACGGGGGGAGCAAGCGUUGUUCGGAUUUACUGGGCGUAAAGGGCGUGUAGGCGGCCACCGCAAGUCAGUUGUGAAAUCUCCGGGCUUAACCCGGAAAGGUCAACUGAUACUGCGGGGCUAGAGUGCAGAAGGGGCAACUGGAAUUCUCGGUGUAGCGGUGAAAUGCGUAGAUAUCGAGAGGAACACCUGCGGCGAAGGCGGGUUGCUGGGCUGACACUGACACUGAUGAGCGAAAGCCAGGGGAGCAAACGGG